GACGAACGCUGGCGGCGUGCUUAACACAUGCAAGUCGAACGGAAAGGCCCUGCUUUUGUGGGGUGCUCGAGUGGCGAACGGGUGAGUAACACGUGAGUAACCUGCCCUUGACUUUGGGAUAACUUCAGGAAACUGGGGCUAAUACCGGAUAGGAGCUCCUGCUGCAUGGUGGGGGUUGGAAAGUUUCGGCGGUUGGGGAUGGACUCGCGGCUUAUCAGCUUGUUGGUGGGGUAGUGGCUUACCAAGGCUUUGACGGGUAGCCGGCCUGAGAGGGUGACCGGCCACAUGGGGACUGAGAUACGGCCCAGACUCCUACGGGAGGCAGCAGGGGGGAAUAUUGCACAAUGGGCGGAAGCCUGAUGCAGCAACGCCGCGUGCGGGAGGACGGCUUUCGGGUUGUAAACCGCUUUCGCCUGUGACGAAGCGUGAGUGACGGUAAUGGGUAAAGAAGCACCGGCUAACUACGU
rnacentral:rRNA from 1 species